GCGGUCCGCCGUUCGGACGCGCCGACGGCCCCGGAGGCGGUCGGGCUAGGCUGGCGGGGUGCGCCUUCCCCGAGAAGGACGCAAAGCCGACAGCCGUCGCAUCCCUGGGAGAUCAUCCAUG
rnacentral:sRNA from 1 species